UAGAACACACGCAUGUGUUAGUCUUAUAGCCCUAUAUAUAGACUUUAAAUUAUGGACUUCACAAGUGCCGUGAUUUGCAACUUUAUGGCCACCGUGAAAUAUCUAAAUUAUCGAAAUGAGUGUUGGCCUUAUGAGAAACGUUUACUAGAGUAAUUGUUUGUGCCCGUCGUGUUUGAAUUGAGGAACGUGUGCCAAGAAGGAACAUAGAAGUGUUUCGGGUUCAGAGACUAAGGGCUACGCUAUUCGAAAACUAUUUGAAUUAUUUUGAAUUAUUCUAGUGUGUAAGAACAGUUUCCUCCCUGUCAUCCUGUGAUUUUGGGAAUUGGUGUAAGUUAUGCAAGGAAGUUGUGGAUUCGUGUGGCAGAAAGUGAAAGUUGUCAUUAAUGACGACUGAUGUUUGGAAAAGUGAAAGACAAUCUAAGGGGCGUAUACUAAGGACGUCCCUUUAUGAGAAAAGUGAAACUAGGCCUACUAUGGACGCCCCUUCAGGAGGAAGUGGAAGAACAGACAAAGAAGACGUCCCUUCAGGAGGAAAGUGGAAAUACUAAGUAUUUCCCUUCAGGAGGAAAGUGGAAAUACUAAGUAUUUCCCUUCAGGAGGAAAGUGGAAAUACUAAGUGUUUCCCUUCAGGAGGAAAGUGGAAAUGAGACCUUGGUUAAACAUUUGGGUUUCUGCACUCGUAUUCCAAAAAUUCACCAGAUAUUAAACUGCUACGCAAUUUACCCAAGUGUAUAGGAAGAAACUUACAUGGGUCUUGCAUACUGGUGGAAGUCAGAAUGGAAUAGGAUUAUCCUGUAUAUAGAGAAAUGGUUAAAAGGAAAUUAAAAUAUCAAUAGUACUUCAGUUAUUUAUUGAAGGAAUAGAUGUUAUACAAUCAAUAGGGGCUUAAACUAUAAAAAGCUGCCAGAUUUAAUGGAAAGAUGGGAUCCGGUAUUUCAUGCCAUUAAUAUUUUAAUCCGCCUGUACCUACCCACGAGUAGCUUCCUCACCCUCCACAAUUCUUGUCUCCAGUGCCCGGCGACUCUCCUCUUCUCUCCAGUGCCCGGCGACUCCCCUCUCCUCUCCAGUGCCCGGCGUAACUCCCUCUCCUCUCCAGUGCCCGGC